CCGGGCGCGCAGGUGAGCGGCAGCCGGGGUGGCUGCGGGCGAGGGGCGGCCCCCGAGAAGGGCUAGGGGCUCGGGGCGCCGGCGGGCCGUCAGGCCUUCCGGAUGGGGACGCGACGCCAUGCAGCUGGCUGGGCCGAGAGGGGCGGCAGGCUGCAGGGGCCCCGCGCCCGUGUUAAGAGGGGUCUGGGGGCCGGUCUGGCCGGCCUGGCUCUCCCGGCUCCCCUCAGACCUCGGCGCCCCGGAAACGCACACUUGGGGCUCCGCCGUCUCCGCUGGGAGGACUGGAGCCCUUCUCGAGCAUCCCCGCCCGCACCCGAGCAUUGACCGGUGCCCAUUGUCAGCAAGUUCUUCGGCCCCCGCCUCAUUCAGGUAUUGUUUCUGAGGCAGCUUCUUCGUUGCCGUUUGCCUGGCGGUUUGCAGAGCGCUUCUCGCAUACGCUCGCUUAAUCCUGGGUGUGUCAUAGCAACGAUCAGGAAACUUGGGUUUUCGAAGCAUCUGUGGGCAAAACUGCAUUCCUUGAGAAAUGCUAAAGGCUCCUGACCCCGCCGGAACCUGGGUGAAGAACUUGGGCUGUUCUGGCAGUCUGCGCAAUCGUAUUUCUGCCUUUUGGGAGGUAACUCCUGCAGAGGCGGAGCCGGCUGUUAAGUUAAGUCAACCUCGAAAGGCCUGGGUGCGGGUGUUCUAUGGCCCAGAAGCCAGAUGUCCUUCGUUAGAAUCCCGGCACUGACACCUAUUAGCCGCCCAGCCACUUUGAGCGGCCACUGCCCUCCCCGAGCCCACGUUGCCUCCUUUGCCGAGUGUGAGCGGAUUAAAAUCUUAUGUGCAUGGAUUUGUUGGGAAGAUUAAAUGAUAUGAGUAGGGCACGAACCUGAACAGAGUCCUGAAACAUACAGCUGUUUAAUCACAGUGAAUUAAGACGACCAGUUUAAGGAGUGAAAUGUUUACUGUCUCGGCAACUUUCAUGAAUGCCUUGGAAAUACAGCCCAAAAUAUUGGUAGAUGGAGAAACAUCUGGUUCCCCUUUCCACAACCACCUUUUCGUUUUAGAACCAGGGUACUUUGUAUGCAGUUGCUUGGAUUGUUGAUUUCCCUCAUUCUUUGUAGACUCAUCUCAAGUAUUCUCAGUAACUUAGAUUCCCUUGCUCUUCAUUCAGAAAUAUUUGUUAAGGUCCAUUAAAUGAAAGUCACCACAGUUGAUCAUGUGAACAGUGUCAAGAAUCAGGCCGAACCUUCAAGGAGUUUAUGUUCUAAAACGGAAGCAUGGUGGUACCUGCUUGUGGAGGCUGAGGCGGAAGGAUCGCUUGAGCCCAGGACUUUGAGGCUGCAUAAUUGCAUUGACGCUAUCCAUAGAGUGCCUGCAAUUUCAAAUAUCAGAAAGGAUCGUACGAGCUAUGAUCAUGCCACUGCACUCCAGCCUGAACCACAGAGCAAGACCCUUUCUCUC
rnacentral:lncRNA from 1 species